CUACGGGAGGCAGCAGUGGGGAAUUUUGCGCAAUGGGGGAAACCCUGACGCAGCAAUACCGCGUGAGUGAAGAAGGCCUUUGGGUCGUAAAGCUCUUUUCUUGGGGAAGAUAGUGACGGUACCCAAGGAAUAAGCACCGGCUAACUCCGUGCCAGCAGCCGCGGUAAUACGGAGGGUGCAAGCGUUGUUCGGAUUUACUGGGCGUAAAGGGCACGUAGGCGGCACAGCAAGUUAAGGGUGAAAUCCCGGGGCUCAACUCCGGAACUGCUCUUAAAACUGCUGAGCUAGAGAUAGUCAGAGGCGGGUGGAAUUCCAGGUGUAGAGGUGAAAUUCGUAGAUAUCUGGAGGAACACCGGUGGCGAAGGCGGCCCGCUGGGGCUAUUCUGACGCUAAGGUGCGAAAGCGUGGGGAGCGAACGGGAUUAGAUACCCUCGUAGUC
rnacentral:rRNA from 1 species